CUUCUUUUCAGCGUGCUCAAUGCUGCAGGUUUUUUUAAUGGUAAGUGCUACAUUUUGGAAUUCCACGUGACUCAGAAUGUUUUUCUUCAAUCCUGUAGCGUGUGAUAGGCCUGGUCAGAAGAGAAAACAGUAGUGAUGCUUCCCUCCAGCUGCAUUGCAGUUGGGCUGUGAAAUGCAGUGGUUUGUUGCUUGGCUGUUGUGGUAAUAUUUUAAGGAACACCUUCCAAGAAAGAAAGGGAAAAGAAGGUGGCCUUGUGAUGCAAACAGGGAGAAUGGAAUCCACUGCUGUUCAGGCUUGCUUCUAGAGCAGCACUUGUACCUGAGGUAGCAGUAGAGGCUGUGUCGGUUGCUGGCCUUUUACUUUGGGUUUGGAUGUCAUUGGCAGUGGUAUGCUGUUAUCUCUUCUGAGAUAACAUCUGUGGCCAUAUCCCAUCUUGGUUGUGUUUUUGCACCCCUGCUUUGCCUGCUUUAGAUUACGAUGACGUCUUGGAGGUGGGGAUGGGUGCGUAGUUGCUAUUCUGGGCAGAUGAUUGAUCUGGGACUUGCUCAUUAGUCCCUGGGCUGCAUUUGAAAAUAGAAACAAAGAAACUUGAGAUGCACAUGUAACCCUUCCUCCUUCCUUCCCCUGUCCCACCCUCAGAAUCACUGCCAGGAAUGAUUUUGCCAAAUCAGGAGCCCUCUUAAUUAAAGUCUUGGGAAAAUUCCAGCUAUGUACGCUAUGCUCUGUAUGACCUCUUUCACACUGCAGAAGUGAGAUGGUAUAUUUUAGAUGAACACAAACUACUGGUCAAGAAGUAUCUCAUACAUGUGACUUAUCCCACAUGCUCUGCUCCAUAGCUUCUCAGUGACUCUAAACCAAGCUGAGGAUUUAUCUGAGGUAGAAUUGCAAUCCUAGAAACCUUUGCAAUCAUCUUGGAACUGGAUGAAGUUGAAGAGCUGUGCUGCUACCUGAUUCCUUCAUGCAGGUGGGUCUCUUACCAAGUUGCAGAAGUAGGGUAGAAACAACCCUCCAGUUUAAGCACUUUUUUUGUUUUGAAAAUAACCCAGGAUGAGCCUUUUGAACGGAGGCAAACUAAAAUUGCACUGCAUGCAGGAGGAACAGUAGAGUGGAUUUAGCUGGAAUUGUUUACCAAGUUUGAAGUCUGGACAUGGCUUGCUGCAGUUGAAAGAAUCCACAACUAGAAUGUGAACUUGGAAGAAGAAGCCAUCAGGAGUAAUAAAGAGGCGACUCAUCUUGUACAGGCCAUCACUGUUUACCAAAAGUGUAACCAAGUGGACUCCACUCCCCAGUCUUUCCAUGUUAUAAACAAUUCCGUUCACUGCUGUUUUAAGGGCAAGAAAAAAGAAGCACGAGAUUACGUAUCGUAGUGGCAACUCAAGGUAAAUUCAUUUAAAGUGCUGUAAAUACCAGCACAGAAAUUAUUUGGUGCAGUAAUUGGCAGGACUGAAGGUAGCAGUUGCUUCUAAUUAUGACACUGGAUAACUUACUAACAUUUCUGUUCUUUACAGCUCCGAGAUCUAAGUGAAGUUUAUAAAAGGUUCAAAUUAAAGCGAUGGUUUUAGAAUUGUUCCUCACCUCAUAUUCAAAAUACUUACUUGACAAAGUAAAACUUACAAGUUUUCAACACCACAGUGUGGUCCAAAGCUAACCUACUAAUAAACCACUUUGGAUUUGAAAGGAAAGGCCCUCAUCACAUCAAGCAGCAAGGGCACCAAGAAGGCAACGUCAUGCUAUCAGACAAUUUCUGCAUGCUAUCUACUCAAUUUCUGGUUUUAAUAAGUCGUGGAACUGGAAAACAACAACUGUGUUAGGUAUUAAGAACUUCUGUAACUGGCAUUCCACCCGCAUCACUGAGAACUUUGAUUCGGUCUGUGGCUGUAAACAUAAAGAACUGAAAAUUCUCUCUGUGAUCACAGCAAUGGAACUUGGCUGAUGUCUUCUUUUGUACCCGGCUUCUUCAGUGUAAGACUUGGAGGAGACUGCUGUUUGUGAAAGGCUGAGAGGUCCAAAGGUUGUGUCACUGUAAGGCCUAUGUUUGACAGGAAUGCGAGAGUUGUAAAACAAAUAAUAAUAAAAAUACAUAACGUUUGUAGAAAGCA